AAAGUGGAGCAAUCCAUGAGUACAGUGGCGUACGGGUGAGUAACACGUGGAUUAUCUACCUUCUAGUGGGGAAUACCUCCGGGAAACUGGAGACAAUACCGCAUAAGCUCGUAAGAGGAAAGCAGCAAUGCGCUGGAAGAGGAGUCCGCGGCUGAUUAGCUAGUUGGCGGGGUAACGGCCCACCAAGGCGAAGAUCGGUAGCCGGCCUGAGAGGGCACACGGCCACACUGGCACUGAAACACGGGCCAGACUCCUACGGGAGGCAGCAGUGGGGAAUCUUGCACAAUGGAGGAAACUCUGAUGCAGCGACGCCGCGUGAGCGAUGAAGCCCUUCGGGGUGUAAAGCUCUUUCGACGGGAACGAUAAUGACGGUACCCGAAGAAGAAGCUGCGGCUAACUACGUGCCAGCAGCCGCGGUAAUACGUAGGCAGCAAGCGUUGUUCGGAAUUACUGGGCGUAAAGAGUGUGUAGGCGGUGCUCCAAGUCUGGUGUGAAAUCUCCCGGCUUAACUGGGAGGGUGCAUUAGAAACUGGAAUGCUAGAGGAUGGGAGAGGUAAGCGGAAUUCCUGGUGUAGCGGUGAAAUGCGUAGAUAUCAGGAGGAACACCUGUGGUGUAGACAGCUUACUGGACCAUUUCUGACGCUGAGACACGAAAGCGUGGGUAGCAAACAGGAUUAGAUACCCUGGUAGUCCACGCCCUAAACGAUGCAUACUUGGUGUGAGCGAUUCAUUUCGUUCGUGCCGGAGCUAACGCGUUAAGUAUGCCGCCUGGGGAGUACGGUCGCAAGGCUGAAACUC
rnacentral:rRNA from 1 species